UACGUAGGGUGCGAGCGUUGUCCGGAAUUAUUGGGCGUAAAGAGCUCGUAGGCGGUGUGUCACGUCGGCCGUGAAAACCUGCAGCUUAACUGUGGGCGUGCGGUCGAUACGGGCAUCACUGGAGUUCGGCAGGGGAGACUGGAAUUCCUGGUGUAGCGGUGAAAUGCGCAGAUAUCAGGGGGAACACCGGUGGCGAAGGCGGUUCUCUGGGCAUGUCCUGACGCUGAGGAGCGAAAGUGUGGGGAGCGAACAGG
rnacentral:rRNA from 1 species